rnacentral:rRNA from 1 species
CCUACGGGCGGCAGCAGUGAGGAAUAUUGGUCAAUGGACGAGAGUCUGAACCAGCCAAGUAGCGUGAAGGAUGACUGCCCUAUGGGUUGUAAACUUCUUUUAUAUGGGAAUAAAACAGGGUAUGCAUACCCUCUUGUAUGUACCAUAUGAAUAAGGAUCGGCUAACUCCGUGCCAGCAGCCGCGGUAAUACGGAGGAUCCGAGCGUUAUCCGGAUUUAUUGGGUUUAAAGGGAGCGUAGGUGGAUUGUGAAGUCAGUUGUGAAAGUUUGCGGCUCAACCGUAAAAUUGCAGUUGAAACUGGCAGUCGUGAGUGCAGUAGAGGUGGGCGGAAGUCGUGGUGUAGCGGUGAAAUGCUUAGAUAUCACGAAGAACUCCGAUUGCGAAGGCAGCUCACUGGACUGCAACUGACACUGAUGCUCGAAAGUGUGGGUAUCAAACAGGAUUAGAUACCCUGGUAGUC